rnacentral:rRNA from 1 species
GACGUAGGGCGCGAGCGUUGUCCGGAUUUAUUGGGCGUAAAGAGCUCGUAGGCGGCUUGUCGCGUCGACCGUGAAACCUCACAGCUCAACUGUGAGCCUGCGGUCGAUACGGGCAGGCUAGAGUUCGGUAGGGGAGACUGGAAUUCCUGGUGUAGCGGUGAAAUGCGCAGAUAUCAGGAGGAACACCGGUGGCGAAGGCGGGUCUCUGGGCCGAUACUGACGCUGAGGAGCGAAAGCCAGGGGAGCAAACGGG